GGUUGCGAUCAUACCAGCACUAAUGCACCGGAUCCCAUCAGAACUCCGCAGUUAAGCGUGCUUGGGCGAGAGUAGUACUAGGAUGGGUGACCCCCUGGGAAGUCCUCGUGUUGCAACCCACC
rnacentral:rRNA from 1 species